GAAAGUAGGCGAGGCAGUUGCGGACUGACGAUCGCGGCGGCGACCCUCAAAGAUCGCCCUGACAGAACGUCCGUUCGAGGAAAGUCCGGGCUCCCCAAAGAUCGAACCUGCUGGGUAACGCCCAGUGCGUGCGAGCGUGAGGACAGUGCCACAGAAACAUACCGCCUUUUACAGUGAACAGCGAACAGUGAACCGCGAACAGUGUUUUUGACUGAUGACUGGUGACUGGAGACUGGUGACUGGAAAAGGUAAGGGUGCAAAGGUGCGGUAAGAGCGCACCAGCAGCAUCGAGAGGUGCUGGCUCGGUAAACCCCAGGUGGGUGCAAGGUCGAAGAGACGACGGUUGGUCUUUUACCGGUCUCGCUUUUGGAGAACCGCUCGAGGCGUCUGGUAACAGGCGUCCCAGAUAGAUAACUGCCCUCGAUGCCCUUGGUGGCGUCGAGAACAGAACCCGGCUUAUGACUGCUUUCUCUA
rnacentral:RNase_P_RNA from 1 species